GACGAACGCUGGCGGCGUGCUUAACACAUGCAAGUCGAACGGAAAGGCCUGCUUUCCCUUGUGGAUUGCGGGUACUCGAGUGGCGAACGGGUGAGUAACACGUGAGUGAUCUGCCCCCAACUUGGGUAUAAGCCUGGGAAACUGGGUCUAAUUCCCGAUAGGACUGCAGGGUGGUGCCUGUGGUGGAAAACGAUUUUCUAGUGGUUGGGGAUGAGCUCGCGGCCUAUCAGCUUGUUGGUGGGGUAAUGGCCUACCAAGGCGGCGACGGGUAGCCGGCCUGAGAGGGUGGACGGCCACAUUGGGACUGAGAUACGGCCCAGACUCCUACGGGAGGCAGCAGUGGGGAAUAUUGCACAAUGGGCGGAAGCCUGAUGCAGCGACGCCGCGUGGGGGAUGACGGCCUUCGGGUUGUAAACUCCUUUCGACCGCGAGGAAGCCACCUGGUUGGAAGGGUGGACGGUAGUGGUAGAAGAAGCACCGGCUAACUACGUG
rnacentral:rRNA from 1 species